rnacentral:pre_miRNA from 1 species
AGCUUCCUGAAUCCGUGUAGAGAUUUUGUCAGACACCAACCCCCUAGGGUUGAUCUGACUUCCAAGAUAAGUGAAGUU